UUCGUGGACGAAGCCCGCGGUGCAGGGAAGCCGGUGUGAAUCCGGCGCGGUCCCGCCACUGUGACCGGGGAGUGCGUUCUCGCGUGCAACAACGCCACUGACGGACAAGUCCGUUGGGAAGGCGGGAGAACGGGCGCUGAUCCGGGAGUCAGGAUACCGGCCGCGGGGUGUUCCGUGUU
rnacentral:ncRNA from 2 species